rnacentral:rRNA from 1 species
UAGGGAAUCUUCGGCAAUGGACGGAAGUCUGACCGAGCAACGCCGCGUGAGUGAAGAAGGUUUUCGGAUCGUAAAGCCCUGUUGUUAGAGAAGAACGUUGGUAGGAGUGGAAAAUCUACCAAGUGACGGUAACUAACCAGAAAGGGACGGCUAACUACGUGCCAGCAGCCGCGGUAAUACGUAGGUCCCGAGCGUUGUCCGGAUUUAUUGGGCGUAAAGCGAGCGCAGGCGGUUCUUUAAGUCUGAAGUUAAAGGCAGUGGCUUAACCAUUGUACGCUUUGGAGACUGGAGGACUUGAGUGCAGAAGGGGGGAGUGGAAUUCCAUGUGUAGCGGUGAGAUGCGUAGAUAUAUGGAGGAACACCGGUGGCGAAAGCGGCUCUCUGGUCUGUAACUGACGCUGAGGCUCGAAAGCGUGGGGAGCAAACAGG